GACGAACGCUGGCGGCGUGCCUAAUACAUGCAAGUCGAGCGAGUCUGCCUUGAAGAUCGGAGUGCUUGCACUCUGUGAAACAAGAUACAGGCUAGCGGCGGACGGGUGAGUAACACGUGGGUAACCUGCCCAAGAGAUCGGGAUAACACCUGGAAACAGAUGCUAAUACCGGAUAACAACAGAUGAUGCCUAUCAACUGUUUAAAAGAUGGUUCUGCUAUCACUCUUGGAUGGACCUGCGGUGCAUUAGCUAGUUGGUAGGGUAACGGCCUACCAAGGCGACGAUGCAUAGCCGAGUUGAGAGACUGACCGGCCACAUUGGGACUGAGACACGGCCCAAACUCCUACGGGAGGCAGCAGUAGGGAAUCUUCCACAAGGGACGCAAGUCUGAUGGAGCAACGCCGCGUGAGUGAAGAAGGGUUUCGGCUCGUAAAGCUCUGUUGUUGGUGAAGAAGGACAGGGGUAGUAACUGACCUGUGUUUGACGGUAAUCAAUGAGAAAGUCACGGCUAACUACGUG
rnacentral:rRNA from 1 species